rnacentral:rRNA from 1 species
UACAGAGGUCCCAAGCGUUGUUCGGAUUCAUUGGGCGUAAAGGGUGCGUAGGUGGCAGGGUAAGUUGGAUGUGAAAUCCCGGGGCUCAACCCCGGAACUGCAUUCAAUACUGCCCUGCUAGAGUACUGGAGAGGAGAUUGGAAUUCAUGGUGUAGCAGUGAAAUGCGUAGAUAUCAUGAGGAAGACCAGUGGCGAAGGCGGAUCUCUGGGCCUGUACUGACGCUGAGGAGCGAAAGCGUGGGGAGCGAACAGG